rfam:Cryptococcus bestiolae CBS 10118 unplaced genomic scaffold supercont1.4, whole genome shotgun sequence.
GGCACGGCCACAGAAUGAUCAAACUUCCGCAUCCCGUUAGCUCUGCGCAGACAAGAGUCAUAUCGCUCGAUCAAUACCAUGAUGGGGGACCACUUGGGAAUCCCAAGUGCUGUAGUCU